rnacentral:rRNA from 1 species
AGAGUUUGAUCAUGGCUCAGAGCGAACGCUGGCGGCGUGCUUAACACAUGCAAGUCGAACGCGCAGCAUUCUGUAGCAAUACAGGGUGUGGGCGCGUGGCGAACGGGUGCGUAACACGUGGAUAACCUUCCUUGAGGUGGGGAAUAACCCAGUGAAAAUUGGGCUAAUACCGCAUAACAUCGCGAUGGCACAUGCUGAUGCGAUCAAAGGCGCAAGUCGCCACAAGAGGGAUCCGCGGCCGAUUAGCUAGUUGGCGAGGUAAUGGCUCACCAAGGCAAUGAUCGGUAGCCGGACUGAGAGGUUGGCCGGCCACACUGGAACUGAGACACGGUCCAGACUCCUACGGGAGGCAGCAGUGGGGAAUCUUGCAUAAUGGACGAAAGUCUGAUGCAGCAACGCCGCGUGGGGGAUGAAGCUUCUCGGAGUGUAAACCCCUUUCGACCCGGAAGAAUGCCCGCAAGGGUAUGACGGUACGGGUAUAAGAAGCCCCGGCUAACUACGUGCCAGCAGCCGCGGUAAUACGUAGGGGGCCAGCGUUGCUCGGAAUUACUGGGCGUAAAGGGUCCGUAGGCGGUGUAGCAAGUCGAUAGUGAAAUCUCUGCGCUUAACGCAGAGGCUGCUAACGAAACUGCUGUGCUAGAGUGUGAGAGAGGCGAGUGGAAUUACGGGUGUAGCGGUGAAAUGCGUAGAUAUCCGUAGGAACAUCCGAGGCGAAAGGCGGCUCGCUGGAUCACAACUGACGCUGAGGGACGAAAGCUAGGGGAGCAAACAGGAUUAGAUACCCUGGUAGUCCUAGCCCUAAACCAUCAGACUUGGGGUUUGCCCUGUACGGGGCAAGUCCCGUAGCUAACGCGUUAAGUCCUGCGCCUGGGGGAGUACGUCGCAAGCUGAAACUCAAAGGAAUUGACCGGGGCCCGGCACAAGCGGUGGGAACAUGUUGGGUCAAAUUCGACGCACCCCGAAGAACUAACG